rnacentral:rRNA from 1 species
AGGAUGAACGCUGGCGGCGUGCUUAACACAUGCAAGUCGAACGAUGAAGGCUGGAGCUUGCUCUGGCUGGAUUAGUGGCGAACGGGUGAGUAACACGUGAGUAACCUGCCCCAGACUCUGGGAUAAGCGCUGGAAACGGCGUCUAAUACCGGAUACGAGCUUCCACCGCAUGGUGAGGAGCUGGAAAGAAUUUCGGUCUGGGAUGGACUCGCGGCCUAUCAGCUUGUUGGUGAGGUAAUGGCUCACCAAGGCGACGACGGGUAGCCGGCCUGAGAGGGUGACCGGGCCACGACUGGGAACUGAGACAGGCCCAGACU